rnacentral:tRNA from 1 species
GGUAAAAUGGCUGAAUAACAAGCGAUAAAUUGUAAAUUUAUUUAUGAACAACAGUUCUUUUACC